AGCAUAUUAAUAAGCGGAGGAAAAGAAACUAACAAGGAUUCCCCUAGUAACUGCGAGUGAAGCGGGAAAAGCUCAAAUUUAAAAUCUGGCAGUCUUUGGCUGUCCGAGUUGUAAUCUAGAGAAGUGUUAUCCGCGCUGGACCGUGUACAAGUCUCCUGGAAUGGAGCGUCAUAGAGGGUGAGAAUCCCGUCUUUGACACGGACUACCAGGGCUUUGUGAUGCGCUCUCAAAGAGUCGAGUUGUUUGGGAAUGCAGCUCUAAAUGGGUGGUAAAUUCCAUCUAAAGCUAAAUAUUGGCGAGAGACCGAUAGCGAACAAGUACCGUGAGGGAAAGAUGAAAAGAACUUUGGAAAGAGAGUUAAACAGUACGUGAAAUUGUUGAAAGGGAAACGCUUGAAGUCAGUCACAUUGGCCAGGGAUCAACCUUGCAUUGCUUGGUGUAUUUUCUGGUUGAUGGGUCAGCAUCAAUUUUGACUGGUGGAUAAAGUCCAGAGGAAUGUGGCAUCUUCGGAUGUGUUAUAGCCUUUGGUCACAUACAUUGGUUGGGAUUGAGGAACUCAGCACGCCGCAAGGCCGGGUUUUUAACCACGUUCGUGCUUAGGAUGCUGGCAUAAUGGCUUUAAUCGACCCGUCUUGAAACACGGACCAAGGAGUCUAACAUGCAUGCGAGUGUUUGGGUGGAAAACUCGAGCGCGUAAUGAAAGUGAAAAUUGGGAUCCCUGUCGUGGGGAGCACCGAUGCCCGGACCAGACCUUCUGUGACGGAUCUGCGGUUGAGCAUGUAUGCUGGGACCCGAAAGAUGGUGAACUAUGCCUGAAUAGGGUGAAGCCAGAGGAAACUCUGGUGGAGGCUCGUAGCGAUUCUGACGUGCAAAUCGAUCGUCAAAUUUGGGUAUAGGGGCGAAAGACUAAUCGAACCAUCU
rnacentral:rRNA from 1 species